rnacentral:lncRNA from 1 species
AAGGCUGCUCCAGCAGGGAGUUUAGCUCCAUGGACACCUUUGAAGGCUAUGAAGGUGCAGAAGACAUGGAAAAGGUGAGCAGCGCUCUGAACCUCGCGGGGCCUUUUCCAGUUGGAUGACAGUCACGAAACCUGUUCCUCCAAAUCCGCUUUCCUGGAGAGGAGAGAAAGCACCCAGGGAGAAAAAGAAGAACGCGAUGAGGAAGCAACGGCGACCGGCAGCACCAAGAAGGAGCGUGCUGGGGCGUCCACGCCGGCUGACUCCUGCGGGGGCGACGGCUGGUUUCCAGGCGAGGGCGCGGCGCCCGAGGACCUCCACCCCGGAGAGCUG